CUACGGGAGGCUCCAGUGAGGAAUAUUGGUCAAUGGGCGAAAGCCUGAACCAGCCAUGCCGCGUGCAGGAAGACUGCCCUAUGGGUUGUAAACUGCUUUUGUACGGGAAGAAAUGACUUUACGUGUAAAGUUUUGACGGUACCGUAUGAAUAAGCACCGGCUAACUCCGUGCCAGCAGCCGCGGUAAUACGGAGGGUGCAAGCGUUAUCCGGAUUUAUUAGGUUUAAAGGGUGUGUAGGCGGAAGAAUAAGUCAGUGGUGAAAUCCUACAGCUUAACUGUAGCACUGCCAUUGAAACUGUUUUUCUUGAGUAUAGUGGAGGUUGGCGGAAUGUGUUGUGUAGCGGUGAAAUGCUUAGAGAUGACACAGAACACCAAUUGCGAAGGCAGCUGACUAAGCUAUAACUGACGCUGAUGCACGAAAGCGUGGGGAUCGAACAGGAUUAGAUACCCUGGUAGUC
rnacentral:rRNA from 1 species